CUUAACUGCCUGGUGUUUACACUGUUUUAUUUUAGAAAUGAAUGAUCUGCGCGGUUAAAUGCUUGAUGACAAGUCAAUUCACUAGCAGGCCAACCAGUACAGUGCAGUUAUCCUCCGUGAGCUCGAGGAUUAACAUAUUGACAACCCAGUCGGCGCCCAUAUAGGUGAAAUAGGCAAAGUAACAGAAUAGCUGAGCAGAAUGACGACAGACCUUGAACGUCAGACAUAAAGAGAUGCAAGUGUUUAUUCUAAGAGGAAGCACGGUGUACAAGAUGGACUGAGAAAAUUAAUAUGCAACUGGACAGUAUGACAGUGAAGUUACAGAAUGCUACCACAAACUUCAGAAGUAAAGAGGCACAAGUCUUUGUUGUGUGAUGGAAACUCAAAUUAGGUGGAUGUUUAGAUGUCAAGGCAGUCAUAGAAAAUAUUUAAACAGAUCAUCAAUUUUGUAUUUAGAAUAAUUUUUCUACUAAUCAAGCUGCAGUUAGAGUUAUAGAAGAGUACACAUUAUAAUAAUUAUGUUUGUUAUUCAUGUAUAAACUAGUAUUUAACAUUUGAGAUAACUCUCCACCG
rnacentral:lncRNA from 1 species